UACCUGGUUGAUCCUGCCAGUAGUCAUAUGCUUGUCUCAAAGAUUAAGCCAUGCAUGUCCAAGUAUGAACCAAUUUGAACUGUGAAACUAUGAAUGGCUCAUUAAAUCAGUUAUAGUUUGUUUGAUGGUACGUGCUACUCUGUAGCGACCCGACCCGAAUGGAUCAAGUCUCUGUGCUUAUGUAUCAUCCCUGGAUCAGUAUGCUGACACACACAGUACUCGAAGGAUUUAUAACAGAGGUAAAUCACAUGUAUAAAGUAACGUAAAUACUAUUACCUCAAUCCAAAUAUAGCGGAAGCAACAAGGUUGUGGAUUCCCAUCAACACCAACGGCAAAGUUGAGUGUAGAAAUCGUAACCCUAACGUAUCACUUACUCGUCGUAAGA
rnacentral:ncRNA from 1 species